rnacentral:lncRNA from 1 species
GACCAAGGAAUAUAGCUGUGAUGUGCUACAAAAAAUAGUUGAGCUUCACAAAAUGUGCCUAUAAAAAAAAGCAAAAGCAAUGAAAAUGCCAAUUUCCCCCAUAAGGACAAUAUUUAAGAAGUUCCAGUCACCUGGAAAUGUUAUGAUUCAACCUGGAAGAGGAUGUGUUGUCCCCAUGCACUGUAAAAAAGAUGAUUUGAGCGUCCAAAAAAUCUCAAAGGAUCACAGCUGGAGAAUUGCAGAAGUUAGUUGCGUCUUGGGGUCAGAAAGUUUCCAAAACUACAGUCCGACAUCACAUACAUCACCAAAAGUUGUCUGGAAGGGUUUCAAAAUAAAAGCCAUCCAAAACAAACUCCAUCAUCAGUUUGCCUUAAAAUACAGGGAAUUCAAAAGUGAUCAAGUUCUAUGGUCUGAUGAAACCAAAUUAGACAUUUCUGGCACUACCACCAGAGGUGGAUUUGGCGCACACAGAUAAGUUGCCAUAUGGAAAAGUACCUCAUGCCCUUGGUUAAAUAUGGUGGUGCAUCUUUAGUGUUUUGGGGCUGUUUUUCUUCUAGACAUUUUGUUAAGAUACAUGGCAUCCUGAACUCUAUCAAAUAUUAACAGAUAUUAAAUGAACACCUGAUUGCCUCUACCAGAAAUCUUAAAAUGGUCCAUGGUUAGAUCUUCUACCAGGAGAAUGAUCCAAAACAUACAUCAAAUUCAACACAAAAAUUGUUUACUGACCACAAAAUCAAGAUCCUGCCAUGACCAUCCAAGUCCCCUGACUUGAACCCCAUAAAAAAACUUAGGGGGGACUGAAGGAGAGAGUUCACCAAUGUCAUCCUCAAAAUUUGAAGGAUCAGGAGAGAUUCUGUAUUGAGGAAUGAUCUCAGAUCCAUUGCCAUGUAUUCUCCAACCUCAUCAUGCAUUAUAGGAGAAGACUAAGAACUGUUAUCUUUGCAAAGAGAGGUACUGCCAAUAACUGUGCCAUUCAUAUAUUUAUUUUGUUUAGGUUUUUUUUUUUUUUUUUAUAAACCUGUGUUGUGUUUAUAAUUGUUUGAUACCCAUGAGAGGGAGCAUUUUUGUGUAUUUUUUUAAUAAAAGAUCAGAAGGGAAUCCUUCUUGGCUAUUUUUCACCAAGGGUGCCAAUACUAGUGAAGAGCACUGUUGGUGUGGUGUUUGUGUUGUAAAAUGGGUUAGUGACUAUUCCCCCAACAAGAGACGCCUUCUUAAGACACUAAAAGCUGAAAUACCUUUUCUUCAGGAGUCACACUUUCACACAUCCUCACCAAUUUCCAUAAAUUACAACAGAGCAUUUGUCACCAAUGCAAUUCCUAUAUGUAAUAGGGUGGUCUGACAAAAGGGACUUUGUGGUGCCACAUGGCACAAGCGUCAGAGCCUCUCCUCUCCAGCUGGGGCCAAAAAGAGAUUGUGAUACAGACUGUCAUGAGAUAUCUACCUGGCCGAUCCAGAUAGCUCUUUGUUGUCAUGGUAAACUCGUUUGAGCAGGGUCCUCUUCAACCUGUUUUUGUAAUUGUCUGGUUUAUUGUUAAAUCUCCCCCUCUUAUAAUAUUGUAAAGUGCUACGGAAUAUAUUGGUGUUAUAUAAAUGCUGAUGAUAAUAAUAAUAAAAAUAGUGGACAUGCACAAAGAGGGAAGGGAACUGUAACAAAUAAUAUAGUUAUAUAUUGUGUGCUGAGUGUUUAAAAACCCUGGCUCCUGCAAAAUAAAG